rnacentral:rRNA from 1 species
CUGGCGGCGUGCCUAAUACAUGCAAGUCGAACGGCUUUUCUAUGGAAGCUUGCUUCCACUGAGAAGAUAGUGGCGAACGGGUGAGUAACACGUGGGUAACCUACCCAUAAGAGGGGGAUAACAUCCGGAAACGGGUGCUAAUACCGCAUAGUUUUCUUGAUCGCAUGAUCGGGAAAGGAAAGACGGCCUUUGUGCUGUCGCUUAUGGAUGGACCCGCGGCGUAUUAGUUAGUUGGUGAGGUAACGGCUCACCAAGACGAUGAUACGUAGCCGACCUGAGAGGGUGAUCGGCCACAUUGGGACUGAGACACGGCCCAAACUCCUACGGGAGGCAGCAGUAGGGAAUCUUCCGCAAUGGACGAAAGUCUGACGGAGCAACGCCGCGUGAGUGAAGAAAGGUUUUCGGAUCGUAAAACUCUGUUGUCAGAGAAGAACAAGUUGGAGAGUAACUGCUCCAGCCUUGACGGUAUCUGACCAGAAAGCCACGGCUAACUACGUGCCAGCCGCAGC